UCUUCCCCAUUUAAACAUGAUUACCUCGGUGUAGAUGGACUUUUCAAUCCCUGCCGAGACACAUGGUAAUGAGUUGUCCCAAUUCGGGAUAUUGGAUUGACUGACAGCUUUUGCUUGAAAGUGAUUUUAAGCAAGAAGAUAGAAACUAUCAACAAUUCUGUGUGGUGUAUCAUCAUAGAGAAGUCAAAAGCAGAAUCCUUGUGGCUGACGAAUAAUAGACGCUUUCUGUGCAAGAAUAAUCCGUUGAUGUGUGCGGUGUGAGAGACCACAGACUAUAUGCGGAAAACUCAUUAAGUCAGUUUGCCUUGAAUCCAGGAAACCGGAGUAUAACACAAGAAAUUCGUUAAAGUAGCGGUAUGGCAAAUGUUUGGUUGGCAAAAAACAAAUCUGAACGAACCGUGAAAUUUGUGGGCAUCAAUCCCAUUCGUGCUUGACAGGGGUAAGAAGCCAAGGGUCGCACCCGGAAGCUCAGACUUAUCUCCACGGUGGCUGAAUAUGACUGUAUCUAUGGUGGAUAAAGGGAAACCUUAAUCAUGUUUACCUUGCAGU
rnacentral:sRNA from 12 species